rnacentral:rRNA from 1 species
GUGAACGCUGGCGGUAGGCCUAACACAUGCAAGUCGAACGGCAGCACAGUAAGAGCUUGCUCUUACGGGUGGCGAGUGGCGGACGGGUGAGGAAUACAUCGGAAUCUACUUUUUCGUGGGGGAUAACGUAGGGAAACUUACGCUAAUACCGCAUACGACCUACGGGUGAAAGCAGGGGAUCUUCGGACCUUGCGCGAUUGAAUGAGCUGAUGUCGGAUUAGCUAGUUGGCGGGGUAAAGGCCCACCAAGGCGACGAUCCGUAGCUGGUCUGAGAGGAUGAUCAGCCACACUGGAACUGAGACACGGUCCAGACUCCUACGGGAGGCAGCAGUGGGGAAUAUUGGACAAUGGGCGCAAGCCUGAUCCAGCCAUACCGCGUGGGUAAAGAAGGCCUUCGGGUUGUAAAGCCCUUUUGUUGGGAAAGAAAAGCAGCAGGUUAAUACCCCGCUGUUCUGACGGUACCCAAAGAAUAAGCACCGGCUAACUUCGUG